CCUCUCUCAGUUCGGAUCGAAGUCUGCAACCCGACUUCGUGAAGCUGGAUUCGCUAGUAAUCGCGCAUCAGCCAUGGCGCGGUGAAUACGUUCCCGGGCCUUGUACACACCGCCCGUCAAGCCAUGAAAGCCGGGGGUACCUGAAGUACGUAACCGCAAGGAUCGUCCUAGGGUAAAACUGGUAAUUGGGGCUAAGUCGUAACAAGGUACC
rnacentral:rRNA from 1 species